AAUAGUAUAUAUAACCAAUCUCAACUAUAAAACAUUAAAAGAACAUUGAAGCAGUGCAUAAUUUUACAGUAGUCUAUAUCAUUUUCACAUUACCGGUGAUUAUCGGUAAUGAUAGGGUAAUCCAAGUCAAGCUGGCAGCUGAAAAUAGCUGUAUAGACACUUGUUGACAUUUUCAUUUAUUAAUUUAUUUUUAAUAAUUAUUUUUACAUUGUGAUCAUGAGUGAGAAAAGAAAAGCUGAAGAUAGUGAUAAUGAGGAAGAAUGGAUUGGUCCUCUUCCAUCAGAAGCUGCACCUGUUAAAAAACAAAAAGUUUUGCAGUAUGAAAAAGUGUACUUGGAAAAUCUACCUGAUUGUGAAAUUUAUGAAAAAUCGUACAUGCAUAGAGAUAAUGUCACUCACAUUGCGAUGACAAAAACGAAUUUCUUAAUAACAGUAGCUGUUGAUGGGAGUCUUAAGUUUUGGAAAAAACAAGAAGAGCUUAUUGAAUUUGUGAAACAUUACAGAGCGCACCUUAAGCCUGUCCAUGCUUUAGCUGUGAGUGCAAAUGGAAUUCAUGGGUGCACCGUUGGUCUAGAUAAAGAAAUGAAAGUUUUUGAUGUUAUCAAUUUUGAUAUGGUCAACAAAUUGAAGUUAGAUUUUGUACCUGAGUGUGCUGAAUGGAUAUAUUCAGCUGGAGAUGCUAUUGCAGCUGUAGCAGUUUCCGAUAGAGAGUCUAAUAAAAUAUGUAUCUUUGAUGCUUUGAGUUCACCCACACCAAUUCAUGAAUUUAAAACAUUGCAUACUAAACCAGUUAUUGUUUUGAAGUACAAUUCAGUGUACGACACAUGUAUAUCUGUAGAUAAAGCAGGAAUCUUAGAGUACUGGACAGGACCAAAAACAGAUUAUAAAUUUCCAAAGCAUGUACGAUUUCAUUCUAAACUAGACACUGAUUUGUUUGAAUUUGCAAAAAAUAAGACUUAUCCUUGUGGCUUGGCCAUAUCUAAUGAUGGCAAAAAAUUUGCUUCAUUAAGUAGAGAUAGGAGAGUAAGGGUAUUCAAUUUCCUUACAGGAAAAAUGACCAGAGUGUAUGAUGAGACAUUGCAAAGGUAUUCUGAACUGCAACAAACGACACAACAAAUUCCAAACAUGGAGUUCAACAGAAGAAUGGCGGUUGAAAGAGAAUUAGACAAGACAGAAACAAGCAUUGGCAACAUAGUAUUUGAUGAAUCAGGGCAUAUGUUGCUGUACAGCACGAUGCUCGGUGUCAAGCUGAUAAACACUUACACGAACCGCUGCCUAAAAAUCUUCGGUAAACCAGAAAAUCUUCGACCAAUGCAGAUUGCGGUGUUUCAAGGUAAAGCUAAAAAAUUAGCAGCUACGACUGUGGAAAUGGAAGCCUCGGAAAAUCCUACCUUGGAAAUGAAUAGACCAGAUCCAACGCUCUUUUGCACAGCGUACAAAAAAAAUCGUUUCUAUUUAUUCUCAAGACGUGAGCCCGAUGAAACUAAAGGUCCAGAGUGCGACCGUGACGUGUUCAACGAACAGCCUACCAAGGAAGACAUCGUUUCCUCUACGGAAACUAUGAAUGUACAAAAAAUCUUUGACACCGCUAUUCUUCACACUGCGCUUGGUGAUAUUCAUGUUAAUCUCUUUGGCAAAGACGUUCCCAAGACCGUUGAAAAUUUCUGUAUGCAUGCAAAGAAUGGGUAUUUCAAUAGCCACAUAUUUCACAGAGUGAUUAAAGGAUUCAUGAUACAAACAGGAGAUCCUACUGGAACAGGUACUGGAGGAGAGAGUAUAUGGGGAGGCGAGUUCGAAGAUGAAUUCAGAAAACAUCUGAAACACGACAGACCAUAUACACUGAGCAUGGCUAAUGCGGGACCAAACACUAAUGGCAGUCAGUUUUUUAUUACAUUGAUACCUACCCCCUGGCUUGAUAAUAAACAUACAGUUUUCGGCCGCGUCGUAAAAGGAAUGGAAGUGGUGCAGAAUAUUAGUCAAGUGAAAACGAAUCCAAAGACUGAUAAGCCGUAUGACGAUAUACGUAUUAUUAGCGUCACAGUCAAAUAACGAAUUGACUUUCAAAUCAAUUCAAAAAAAAAAAUUCGUAUCUAGGAUGAACUGUGAAAUCCAUAGAUAAUUCAUAAACGAAAGAUAUGUAUACUGAAUGAACUUGAGAAUUGAGCAAAAUCGACUAAUCUCUACUCAUUUCAAUAAGGAGCGAACAGAAAAGUCGUUCACAUUCAGUUGUAUAUCUGCUUAGCGCGCGUGGUCUACAGAAACAACACGAGUAGCGUGUGUCCUUUCGUACCGUGCAGUUGCUUUAACUCACUCGAAUACAGCUGAUAAUUUGACCAUUAUCUUAUCUUUACUACCUGCACAAUCUUUCCAGUGCAAAUUUACGAUGCAGUUAAUAUUUAUGUGACGAAUGAAUUUUUGACGUAGCUAGCCCCUAAAUUUUUAAUCGACAAUGCAUCUUUGUGAAAACUUAUAACGAACCAUAUCUGUAUAUCUUAAAUAACUACGUCUAGCUUAAGCUGUCACAAACUUAUCGACUCAACAAGCGACUGAAGUCCAAGCAUCUUUUCUUUUAUAACAGCUUUUAUCAUGUCUAAACUUAGAGAUAACAUAAUUGGUUUUUCCAUUUGUCCAACUAUUAGAGAGAAAUAUUUGCUUAAAAAAGGAGACUUUUACGUGAAAGAUUUCUCAGUGACAUCGGAGCAACCGAACAUAAUUAAAGUGGGUGAUACCCUAGAGAGCGAUAGCAAAAGCGAAUUUAAUUUUUUCGUCGGUAGAAAAAAAUCCAAAGACGUAGCCAAAUGGUUCAAUAUGCAGUGCGACACUCGCAAAAAUACGACAUUUGGUCAUUUUGCCGACGAAUUAAGUUUUGCAUUUCUCGGAACAUUACGAUUGACAAUAUCUUAUGAAUCUACAAGUGAGCAUGAAGUAAUAUUUGAUGACAUUUUAAUUGCACAAGGCCAAAAUGGAACGAACAUAAGUUGGUGGUUCGGUGGUAGAAAGUGCUACAAUAUUGGAAAUAACACUGUGAAAUCGAAUGGAACAACAGAAAUUGCAGACAAUUUUCGUUUCAUUUUUUAUAAAGGCAGUAUGAAAAGCAAUUCAAUUUUGAUUAAGCGUAUAAGCUUCUUAACGUGGAUGAAAAACAUCGAUGACAGUAAAUUUCUAAACGAAAUAAACAUUCCUGGAACUCACGACUCCGGAACUUACAAUUUCACAACGCCAAUUACCCGUGACGACGUGCAGACGCAAAACUUAUCGAUAGAAGAGCAAUUGGACCUGGGUAUACGAUUUCUCGACAUAGGAUGCAGACACAUUCAUGAUAAAUUUGCAAUUCAUCAUGACUCCAUUUACGUUCAUUUAAGUUUUGACAAUGUGUUAGAGCAAUGCACUUCAUUUCUAAACGAGAAUCCAUCGGAAAGUAUAAUUCUGCUAAUAAAGGAAGAAUAUUUUCCAAAACAAAACACAAGAGCGUUUUACCAAACAUUCUUAGACUACGUGAAUACAACUAGUGCCUACUGGUAUCGUGGAACAGCAAUACCAAGUUUGAAAGAUGCCAGAAAAAAAUUAAUCCUUAUGCGUAGAUUCAGCUUCGAUGAAUAUUCCUUUGGUGUCGAUUGCACGCACUGGGUGAUUAAUUCAACGUUUGAGAUAUUACAUAACGAUUUCACAUUGAAGAUCCAAGAUGAAUACGAGGUAUCACGUAUGAAAAAAAAAAUAGCAAUACAAAGAUUGGUUGAUUCGUCAAAAAACCGAGAACACCGUUGCUGGUAUUUAAAUUAUAUGAGCUUAGCGUCGUCGUUAGAAAAAGGAACUAUUAUUAAUACGUCAAACUUUACUAACAAAGUUAUACAUUCAAUAGUGACAACAGACCAGUCAACAUUUUUAGGCGUGAUUAUAAUGGAUUUCCCAGACAAUCUAAAAUGUCUAACCAGGGAUAUAAUCGAUAGCAACAAUCAUUUAUGAACGGAUACUUGUAUAUUUAAAAAAAUGUAAUUAUUUCGCAACAAGUCUCAAAAUGAAACCAACAAUGUACAUUACAAAUAUAUAAUCAAUCAUUGAUUUUCUCCUUUACUAUGUUUACUUCCACACUAUGGCCUGUUUACCUGCGUAAACUACAAGAGCAAAUCCACUUAUCUCGACAGCAGUAUACAACUCAAGCGUAGAGCUGUGCUCAUCAACAAGAUUAAUAAUUCGAGUACU